rfam:Oryza sativa Japonica Group DNA, chromosome 6, cultivar: Nipponbare, complete sequence.
AAAAAGCCAAAUCCUGAGUUUUCGUGUCCAACGUUUGACUGUCCGUCUUAUAUGAAAUUUUUUUAUAAUUAGUAUUUUCAUUGUUGUUAGAUGAUAAAACAUGAUUAAUACUUUAUGCGUGACUUGUCUUUUUUAAUUUUUUUUCUUAAUUUUUUCAAAUAAGACGGAUAGUUAAACGUUGGACACGGAAACUCAGGGUUUGUCUUUUU